CGUACACUCCUGCGGGAGGCAGCAGUGGGGAAUAUUGCACAAUGGGCGCAAGCCUGAUGCAGCCAUGCCGCGUGUAUGAAGAAGGCCUUCGGGUUGUAAAGUACUUUCAGCGGGGAGGAAGGCGAUAAGGUUAAUAACCUUGUUGAUUGACGUUACCCGCAGAAGAAGCACCGGCUAACUCCGUGCCAGCAGCCGCGGUAAUACGGAGGGUGCAAGCGUUAAUCGGAAUUACUGGGCGUAAAGCGCACGCAGGCGGUCUGUCAAGUCGGAUGUGAAAUCCCCGGGCUCAACCUGGGAACUGCAUUCGAAACUGGCAGGCUAGAGUCUUGUAGAGGGGGGUAGAAUUCCAGGUGUAGCGGUGAAAUGCGUAGAGAUCUGGAGGAAUACCGGUGGCGAAGGCGGCCCCCUGGACAAAGACUGACGCUCAGGUGCGAAAGCGUGGGGAGCAAACAGGAUUAGAUACCCCGGUAGUCCCAUGA
rnacentral:rRNA from 1 species